UGUGGCUUGUUGGAUCAUCAAAUCAUUCACCACGGAAACACUAGCGUGGUGCACGUCUAGGUCCAAGUCCUUGAGGGCUGCCAUUAGCCUGGCAGCUGGAUGGUUCUUUUUACUACAUUGUAUACGAAUCAUAGCAUCCCAUCCAAUCACCUUAACGUCAAUGUCCAUAUCGACAAUCUUGACAUCUUGAUUCAAUGGAGGGGAGGCGGAAUAGUUUGAUGAUCCCUUGUUGGUUAAUUCCUUCCUUAAACAUUCAAUUUGGCUCCUCAACUCCUCUUUAUCUAAAUCUGAAUUUUGAACUUUUGAUUUCAACUCAUUGAUGUAUGCAAUUGCAUCUCCAAGAAGUGAUGCCUUAUCCAUUUUAGACACAUUUGGGACUACGGCUCUGAGCGCGUAGAAUCUUUGAUUCAAUUUCUCCCUCCUCUGUCUCUCCGCUUCCACGUGAUUCAAUGGCUCCUCCCUUCCAUUGGCUGGUUUCCUCCCUCGCUUCCUCGGCUUCUUUUCAGGUUCUACAACGGCCUCCUUCACCACUGAGGCUUCGAGAUCUGAGUGAUCAGAAUCCCCGGACUUCCCCAUUGUUGAAGUUGGCAAGAUCACACCCGAAACAAACGAAAGCAUUCCUUCUUCAUUGUUUCCCCUUGAUCCAAGUGACCUUUUCUUGUUCUUGUUCUUGUUCUUG
rnacentral:misc_RNA from 1 species